rnacentral:rRNA from 1 species
AUACCCCACUAUGCUUGACCGUAAAAUAUUAACUCACCCAUAAAACCGCCAGGGAAUUACGAGCAACCUUAAAACCCAAAGGACUUGACGGUACCCCAUCCCCCUAGAGGAGCCUGUUCUAUAAUCGAUUCUCCCCGAUUUACCACACCCCCCCUUGAAUAAUCAGCCUGUAUACCUCCGUCGCAAGCCUACCAUGUGAAUGCCACCUCGUUAGCUUAAUGAUUUAACACCCAUACGUCAGGUCACGGUGCAGCCCAUGAGGCGGGAAGAAAUGGGCUACAAUCUCUAUCUUAGAACAAACGAAAGACUACAUGCAACACAGUCAUUGAAGGCGGAUUUAGUAGUAAAAAGAAAAUAGAGAGUUCUUUUUAACCCGGCCCUGGGGUGCGUACACAC